rnacentral:rRNA from 1 species
AACGAACGCUGGCGGCAUGCCUAACACAUGCAAGUCGAACGAUUGCCUUCGGGUGAUAGUGGUGCACGGGUGCGUAACGCGUGGGAAUCUGCCCUUAGGUUCGGAAUAACAGCUGGAAACGGCUGCUAAUACCGGAUGAUAUCGCGAGAUCAAAGAUUUAUCGCCUGAGGAUGAGCCCGCGUUGGUUUAGGUAGUUGGUGGGGUAAAGGCCUACCAAGCCGACGAUCCAUAGCUGGUCUGAGAGGAUGAUCAGCCACACUGGGACUGAGACACGGCCCAGACUCCUACGGGAGGCAGCAGUGGGGAAUAUUGGACAAUGGGCGCAAGCCUGAUCCAGCAAUGCCGCGUGAGUGAUGAAGGCCCUAGGGUUGUAAAGCUCUUUUACCCGGGAAGAUAAUGACUGUACCGGGAGAAUAAGCCCCGGCUAACUCCGUG